rnacentral:rRNA from 1 species
GAUAUCUGCAGUUAACGAUUCGCUUAGAGUUGUCAGUUCAGAGUAAGGUGGGGUAGCCUACACUUCAAGUGACGGCACACGUAGAGCUUUUAUAUGGUGUGAUGGAGACGGCGAGGAUACAUGGAAUUUCCUUUUGUGGGGAUACGCAGGAACUUACGUAAACCGCAUCGCCUUCGGUGAAAGCCGGGACCAGCAAUGGCCCGCGCUGAUAGUGAGCUGAGUCGGAUAGCUCGUCGUGAGUAAUGCUCACCAAGGCGGGAUCCGUAGUUGGUCUGAGAGGAUGAUCAGCCACACGGGAACUGAGACACGGUCCAGCUCGUACGGGAGGCAGCAGUGGGGAAUAUGGACAAUGGCGCAAGCUUAUCCAGCCAUACCGCUGGGUGAAGAAGCCUUCGGGUUUAAAGCCCUUUGUUGGGAAAGAAAAGCAUUCGGUUAAUACCCGGGUGUUCUGACGGUACCCAAAGAAUAAGCACCGGCUAACUUCGUGCCAGCAGCCGCGGUAAUACGAAGGGUGCAAGCGUUACUCGGAAUUACUGGGCGUAAAGCGCGCGUAGGUGGUGGUUUAAGUCCGUUGUGAAAGCCCUGGGCUCAACCUGGGAAUUGCAGUGGAUACUGGGUCACUAGAGUGUGGUAGAGGAUAGUGGAAUUUCCGGUGUAGCAGUGAAUUGCGUAGAGAUCGGAAGGAACACCUGUGGCGAAGGCGACUAUCUGGGCCAACACUGACACUGAGGCACGAAAGCGUGGGGAGCAAACAGGAUUAGAUACCCUGGUAGUCCACGCCCUAAACGAUGCGAACUGGAUGUUGGGUUCAACUUGGAACUCAGUAUCGAAGCUAACGC